CCAGCAGCCGCGGUAAGACGAAGGUGGCAAGCGUUGUUCGGAAUCACUGGGCUUAAAGAGCACGUAGGCGGCUCAUCAAGUGUCUUGUGAAAUCCCCCGGCUCAACCGGGGAAUCGCUGGGCAUACUGAUGAGCUUGAGGCAGGUAGGGGCGAGUGGAACUCUUGGUGGAGCGGUGGAAUGCGUAGAUAUCAAGAGGAACGCCGGAGGUGAAGACGACUCGCUGGGCCUGUCCUGACGCUGAGGUGCGAAAGCCAGGGGAGCAAACGGGAUUAGAUACCCCGGUAGUCCUGGCCCUAAACUAUGUUCACUAGGUCGAAGGCACUCUGACGUGUUUUUGGCCGAAACAAAAGCGUUAAGUGAACCGCCUGGGGAGUACGGUCGCAAGGCUAAAACUCAAAGGAAUUGACGGGGGCCCGCACAAGG
rnacentral:rRNA from 1 species